rnacentral:lncRNA from 1 species
GAAUGGAGCAAAAAUCAUGCUACCACUCCACUCCAGCCUGGGUGACAUUGCGACACUUUGUCAAAAAAAAAUUUGAAAUUUUGAUGGAAAAUGUUCUUUUGAGUAAAACAAUAACAAAAACCUAAUAGGGAGAUGAGUUACUCAAGUGCUCUAUUUAGAUGCUUUAAUAAUUAUGUGGAUAUUCGAGUUACACAGCAAAUAGCUCAUGUGCUAAUCAUGAAAGAUUGGUCACAGGAAGCAUCUACACACAGAUAGUUCCUUUUAUGACUUAGUUUCUGACCUUGAUCAAAUGUAUAUAUUUUUAAAACUCCACAAAACUAUAGGGUCACAAAAUGACUUAAGAAGCAACAUUAAAUGGCAAAGCCAAUCAUUCACCAUGAGUGUUGAUGACCAUCUGAAAUGAGCAUUAGUGUCCUAACACUUAACGAACAUGUCACUUGUCCCUGUUCCAGCCCGGGCCACGCCCUACAUGUCUUUCUGCUCUCACAGUGCUAGUGCAGAGUCCUGCACACAAUCAAAAGAAUGAAUGUUGUCAUCAU